CCUACGGGGGGCUGCAGUGGGGAAUAUUGCACAAUGGGCGCAAGCCUGAUGCUGCCAUGCCGCGUGUGUGAAGAAGGCCUUCGGGUUGUAAAGCACUUUCAGCGGGGAGGAAGGCGGUGAGGUUAAUAACCUCAUCGAUUGACGUUACCCGCAGAAGAAGCACCGGCUAACUCCGUGCCAGCAGCCGCGGUAAUACGGAGGGUGCAAGCGUUAAUCGGAAUUACUGGGCGUAAAGCGCACGCAGGCGGUCUGUCAAGUCGGAUGUGAAAUCCCCGGGCUCAACAUGGGAACUGCAUUCGAAACUGGCAGGCUAGAGUCUUGUAGAGGGGGGUAGAAUUCCAGGUGUAGCGGUGAAAUGCGUAGAGAUCUGGAAGAGUACCGGUGGCGAAGGCGGCCCCCUGGACAAAGACUGACGCUCAGGUGCGAAAGCGUGGGGAGCAAACAGGAUUAGAUACCCUAGUAGUC
rnacentral:rRNA from 1 species